rnacentral:rRNA from 1 species
GGCAUGGGAUACCUUAGUAACGGCGAGUGAAGCGGUAAAAGCUCAAAUUUGAAAUCUGGUACUUUCAGUGCCCGAGUUGUAAUUUGUAGAAUUUGUCUUUGAUUAGGUCCUUGUCUAUGUUCCUUGGAACAGGACGUCAUAGAGGGUGAGAAUCCCGUUUGGCGAGGAUACCUUUUCUCUGUAAGACUUUUUCGAAGAGUCGAGUUGUUUGGGAAUGCAGCUCAAAGUGGGUGGUAAAUUCCAUCUAAAGCUAAAUAUUGGCGAGAGACCGAUAGCGAACAAGUACAGUGAUGGAAAGAUGAAAAGAACUUUGAAAAGAGAGUGAAAAAGUACGUGAAAUUGUUGAAAGGGAAGGGCAUUUGAUCAGACAUGGUGUUUUUUGCAUGCACUCGCCUCUCGUGGGCUUGGGCCUCUCAAAAAUUUCACUGGGCCAACAUCAAUUCUGGCAGCAGGAUAAAUCAUUAAGAAUGUAGCUACUUCGGUAGUGUUAUAGCUUUUUGGAAUACUGUUAGCCGGGAUUGAGGACUGCGCUUCGGCAAGGAUGUUGGCAUAAUGGUUAAAUGCCGCCCGUCUUGAAAAACGGACCAAAA